AUGGGGCUUAUUUAUCCCAGGAAUCCUUGUCAGAUCCUGCUUGGGAGUGCUCCUAAGGUUGUCAUUCCUGGAACCUCAACUGCUAUGGGAAGCAGGUCCCUGUUGCUACUCUCUGGUCUCAGCGUCCUCCUGGCUCCGUCAGGAUUGGAAGCAAAGGAGGCUGGAGUUUCCUGUCCUCCGUGCCCAGAAAAUGCUAACUGCCUCAGUGGCACCUGUGUUUGCAAAGAUGGAUUUCAGUUUGUGUCUCAGAAGUGGUUCUUGAAGUCCGUUCAGAAAUGUGAAGGUAAAGAAGUCCGCAUUCAUCUUGGCAUUUGAAAGGAACAGGGGCAACCCUCUUGGUCUCAAAUACUGUGUCACCUAGUGGUGCUGGUACUGCAAUGGUACAAUGAUAUUACAAAAUAGAAAAUAUCAGCACUGCCUCAAUAUCCCUAUAGAAGUCCCCAGACCUUGCCUUCUUUUCACGUGCAUCCUAAUGCUGGCUUCAGUUCAGUUCAGUUCAGUUCAGUCGCUCAGGUAUGUCCGACUCUUUGCGACCCCAUGAAUCGCAGCAUGCCAGGCCUCCUUG
rnacentral:lncRNA from 1 species